rnacentral:lncRNA from 1 species
UUGCCACCAGGUAGUUCGCCGUCAUGAGGGAGGCGCACAUGAAGUGCUAUCCUUUCUAGCUUCUUGCAUUGUUGUAGUGUUACAUAUUGGAGAGAAUUACACAUUAUCGUCCUCCUACAAAUGCUUUUCAGUGCCUGAAGAUCCCUUAAACAUAAGGUCCUUAACUUGGGGAGGCUUAGAGUGGAAGUAAGAUCAUCUGCUUCGGUCACUGCUAUGACCUCCUCCAUCACUUCACAUUCUUGAAUGUGAAGAUUUUCUAGGUUUGCAAGGAGGGACAGGAGCGUGUCCGUCAGAAGGUUCUUCAUUUUGCAGCACUUGUAGAUGUAAACUGUUUUAAGACCCCAAAAGCCUUCACCUUCAGAGAUCCACCCCGGCAAAGCCCUGGCAGCAGCAGCAGCAACUGCCUCGACUAGAGCACGCAGGUCAUCUAACGCAUCCAAUUUGAGAUACUCAAGGCUUUGCAGAGGAGCAUAAUAAUCUGCAGGAGAACUC